ensembl:antisense Gm10706 predicted gene 10706
GAUCACAAGGUGAGCAUGUCCAGCCACAGAUCUGCACUGCCCGGUAAUAAGAUGAUCUCUAAGAACUUUAUUUAUUUGCCGUGGAUGAGGAGGAACAAGAAACAGGCAGCAUGGCCACCUUAAUCCUUCCCAAAGUGGCAUCUGCGUGAACCUGUUCACAUCACUGCGUUUCCUCCAGAGCUGCCAAGACUGUACCAGCCAGCAGCUCAGAGGAUGCUGUGGGGAACUUUUUCUACACUCCAGUUGUCCUCACACUGAUCCUUGAAAUUACUAAGUUGCUUCUGAUGUUGUCUGCCACGGGUGAGGCUGUCCCCAGCCCAGACGGGAUGAACAGGAGGGACAUGGUGGUGACAGGUCAAGAGACUUAUUAUGCACAGCCCAGAAUCUCUUUAUAUGAUGCAGGCAUAUCGGGUAGUAUCUACAAGACAUGGUAAAAACUGUACCCACAGAGUGGGUGCUACAAAGCCAGGGGUAUGAUAGAGAUGUACAUUUAUCAUACAAAACACUUAAAUGAAUGAUAUUAGAAAAUAUGUCUGCUAUGCUGUUUUCCUGAGAAGAAUGGUAUUAGACUAUGAAUUUGAAAAUAUCUGCAAAAUUUAUAUCAUUCCCUAGAAUAUGGUAAUUCGUUAUUAACUCAUUUGCCCGCUCUCUAUUUUCCUUUCUCCUUUUUAGUUUCCUUACAUCAAUUUUCACCCUGACCUAGUAUUACUCAAACAUCUCUAAAGAAAACAACUGUCUAACAGUAACGUGGGGCCACAGAAAUCUAAAGGCAAGCAGCAAAUUGCAUUUAAAAACUUCUAGCAGCCUCAUUGAGAGUUAAGAGGUGGUAAGAAAUUACUUUAAUCUCACAUCUUCAAAAAUGUUAACAACUUGCAAUGUGCCACUAGGCACAUUUCAAGUGCCCCUCGGCUGAGACACAGGGUCACAACAGCCGUCAGCACAGCUUUAGGACGGCAGAAGAGAGAAGAAAGAGCUCUCCUCACGAGUCAUGGGAAACCAUGGUGCAGGCAGGAGGCGCCUCGGAGACGGAAGUUUUAGAGACUGUGUCCAUCCAGAUUUCUGAGAUUCUCGUCUGGAUCUGGCAUCCCUCGCCGGGAGCCAUGGGAGUCUGGAGUGAUAUAUUGUCGUUUCUGUUUCUAUUUCUGUUUUUAAUAUGACCAGUAACCCUUUCUUCAUUGAGAACACAUUACAAUUUUGAAUGAAGAAAUCAUAUCAACUAUUCAAAUCCUGCCAGCUGUGACUGCCUGAGCUGUGACUGCCUGAGCUCUUGGCUGUACCACUGGGCUCUUGGCUUAGGUAUUUCAAACCCACAGGGCCUCGCUCUGAGUUGGCAAGAUUAGACAUUCUUAUCAACCAAUGAAAAUCAAAAUCAAAAUCAUCCAGUCCUCCACACUCAGCCCCCAAGCUGGCCACGUGAGAUUUCAAUGGGUGGCCCCUACCUCUGGAUGUCAUCCACAAGUCGGGCGAGCUGCUGCUGCCUCCCCAUAGGACUAAGCCGAGUCUCUUCAGCUACUGCCUUCAUCAGGCGGAAAUCGGAGGUUGCUUGGCUGCUCAGGCCUGGGAAAGGUAAGCAAAGGAAAUUUCGGUCUGCAGAAAUGUCUCAGUGGUUAAGAGCACUUGUUCUUCCAAAGGACCCAGGAUUGGUUUCCAGUACCCACAUGGCAGCUCACAACCAUAUGUAACUCCAAGCCUAGGGGAUUCAACUCCCUUUUCUGACAUCCUUGAGUGCCAGAAACACAAUUAAUAGCACUGGCUGCUUUUACAGAGGAUCUGGGUUCAAUUCCUAGCCCCCACAGGUAGUUAACAACUGUCUGUACUUCUAGUUCCAGGACAGCUAACAUCCUCACACAGACAAACGUGCAGGCAAAAUACCAAUGUACCUAACAUAAAAUAAAUAAAUAAAUAAAUAAAUAAAUAAAUAAAUAAAUCUUAAAA